rnacentral:lncRNA from 1 species
AUGGGAUCUGGGAUUGGGAUUUGGGAAUGGAAUCAGAAAUUGGGAUCAGGGAUUGGGAUCUGGGAAUGGGAUUUGGGAAUGGAAUCAGAAAUUGGGAUCAGGGAUUGGGAUCUGGGAUCUGGGAAUGGGAUCUGGGAAUGGGAUCAGGGAUUGGGAUCAGGGAUUGGGAUCAGGGAUUGGGAUCUGGGAUCCCCAGUGCUCCAGGCCCAGCUCUGCAACAGGAACGGGAUCAGGGAUCUGGGAUCUGGGAUUGGGAUCUGGGAUCUGGGAUUGGCAUUUGGGAUCCCCAGUGCUCCAGGCCCAGCUCUGCAACAGGAACUGGGAUCAGGGAUUGGGAUCAGGGAAUCUGGGAUUGGGAUCAGGGAUCCCCAGUGCUCCAGGCCCAGCUCUGGGAACAGAAAAUGGGAUCAGGGAAUCUGGGAAUGGGAUCAGGGAAUGGGACUUGGGAUUGGGAUCUGGGACCCCCAGUGCUCCAGGCCCAGCUCUGGAAACAGAAAAUGGGAUCAGGGAGCUGGGAAUGGGAGCUGGGAAUGGGAUUUGAGAUCUGGGAUUGGGAUCAGGGAAUGGGAUUUGGGAUCCCCAGUGCUCCAGGCCCAGCUCUGCAACAGGAAUGGGAUUUGGGAUUGGGAUCGGGGAAUGGGAUCUGGGAAUGGGAUUUGGGAUUGGGAUCAGGGAUUGGGAUCUGGGAAUGGGAUUUGGGAUUGGGAUCAGGGAUCCCCAGUGCUCCAGGCUCAGCUCUGCAACAGGAACGGGAUCAGGGAUUGGGAUCUGGAAUCUGGGAAUGGGACCAGGGAAUGGGAUUUGGGAAUGGAAUCAGGGAUUGGGAUCUGGGAAUGGGAUCUGGGAUUGGGAUCUGGGAUCCCCAGUGCUCCAGGCCCAGCUCUGGAACAGAAACUGGGAUCAGGGAUUGGGAUUUGGGAUCGGGGAAUGGGAUCAGGGAAUGGGAUCAGGGAUCCCCAGUGCUCCAGGCCCAGCUCUGGGAACAGAAAAUGGGAUCUGGGAGCUGGGAUUGGGAGCUGGGAAUGGGAUUUGAGAUCUGGGAAUGGGAUCAGGGAAUGGGAUUUGGGAUCUGGGAAUGGGAUUUGGGAUCCCCAGUGCUCCAGGCCCAAAUCUGGGAAACAGAAAUUGGGAUCUGGGAUUGGAAUUUGGGAUCUGGGAUCUGGGAAUAGGAUCUGGGAUUGGGAUCUGGGAUCUUGGAAUGGGAUCUGGGAUCUGGGAAUGGGAUUUGGGAUCCCCAGUGCUCCAGGCCCAGCUCUGGGAACAGGAACAGGAUCAGAAAUUGGGAUCUGGGACCAGGGAAUGGGAUCAGGGAUCUGGGAAGGGGAUCUGGGAAUGGGAUCUGGGAUUGGGAUUUGGGAUCGGGGAAUGGGAUCAGGGAUUGGGAUCUGGGAUCCCCAGUGCUCCAGGCCCAGCUCUGGGAACAGAAAUUGGGAUCUGGGAUGUGGGAAUGGGAUCAGGACCAGGGGUUGGGAUUGGGAUUGGCCAAUCCCUCUCCACAUUCCAGAGCCAUUCCUGGGGUUCCCAACCCUUCCCUUCCCUGGGGAUCCCUCUGUGCCCCAUUCCCAGGGAAUUCCCCCAAAUCCUGCUGGGAAUCCCCCAAACCCCAUUCCCACAGAAUUCCCCCAAAUCCUGCUGGGAAUCCCCCAAACCCCAUUCCCACAGAAUUCCCACCCCAUUCCCAGCAAAUUCCCCCAAAUCCUGCUGGGAAUCCCCCAAAUCCCAUUCCCAGGAAAUUCCUCCCAAAUCCCAUUCCCAGCAAAUUCCCACAAAUCCUGCUGGGAAUGCCCCAAAUCCCAUUCCCACAGAAUUCCCACCCCAUUCCCAGGGAGUUCC